GAUGAAGAACGUAGCGAAAUGCGAUACGUAAUGUGAAUUGCAGAAUUCAGUGAAUCAUCGAAUCUUUGAACGCAUAUUGCGCUCUCUGGUAUUCCGGAGAGCAUGCUUGUUUGAGUAUCAGUAAACACCUCAACUUCCAUAUCUUUUUUGAAAUGGGAGUUGGACUUGAGUGAUCCCAACGCUUUUCCUCACCGAAAAGUGGCGGGUUACUUGAAAUGCAGGUGCAGCUGGACUUUUCUCUGAGCUAUAAGCAUAUCUAUUUAGUCUGCCUAAAAAACAGAUUUUUACCUUUGCUGCAGCUAACAUAAAGGAGAUUAGUUCUUGUGCUGACUGAUGCAGGAUUCACAAAGACGGCUUCGGCCGACUUUGUAAACUCGAUCUCAAAUCAAGUAAGACUACCCGCUGAACUUAAGCAUAUCAAUAAGCGGAGGA
rnacentral:misc_RNA from 1 species